rnacentral:rRNA from 1 species
UUAAGCGACUAAGCGUACACGGUGGAUGCCCUGGCAGUCAGAGGCGAUGAAGGACGUGCUAAUCUGCGAUAAGCGUCGGUAAGGUGAUAUGAACCGUUAUAACCGGCGAUUUCCGAAUGGGGAAACCCAGUGUGUUUCGACACACUAUCAUUAACUGAAUCCAUAGGUUAAUGAGGCGAACCGGGGGAACUGAAACAUCUAAGUACCCCGAGGAAAAGAAAUCAACCGAGAUUCCCCCAGUAGCGGCGAGCGAACGGGGAGCAGCCCAGAGCCUGAAUCAGUGUGUGUGUUAGUGGAAGCGUCUGGAAAGGCGCGCGAUACAGGGUGACAGCCCCGUACACAAAAAUGCACAUGCUGUGAGCUCGAUGAGUAGGGCGGGACACGUGGUAUCCUGUCUGAAUAUGGGGGGACCAUCCUCCAAGGCUAAAUACUCCUGACUGACCGAUAGUGAACCAGUACCGUGAGGGAAAGGCGAAAAGAACCCCGGCGAGGGGAGUGAAAAAGAACCUGAAACCGUGUACGUACAAGCAGUGGGAGCACGCUUAGGCGUGUGACUGCGUACCUUUUGUAUAAUGGGUCAGCGACUUAUAUUCUGUAGCAAGGUUAACCGAAUAGGGGAGCCGAAGGGAAACCGAGUCUUAACUGGGCGUUAAGUUGCAGGGUAUAGACCCGAAACCCGGUGAUCUAGCCAUGGGCAGGUUGAAGGUUGGGUAACACUAACUGGAGGACCGAACCGACUAAUGUUGAAAAAUUAGCGGAUGACUUGUGGCUGGGGGUGAAAGGCCAAUCAAACCGGGAGAUAGCUGGUUCUCCCCGAAAGCUAUUUAGGUAGCGCCUCGUGAAUUCAUCUCCGGGGGUAGAGCACUGUUUCGGCAAGGGGGUCAUCCCGACUUACCAACCCGAUGCAAACUGCGAAUACCGGAGAAUGUUAUCACGGGAGACACACGGCGGGUGCUAACGUCCGUCGUGAAGAGGGAAACAACCCAGACCGCCAGCUAAGGUCCCAAAGUCAUGGUUAAGUGGGAAACGAUGUGGGAAGGCCCAGACAGCCAGGAUGUUGGCUUAGAAGCAGCCAUCAUUUAAAGAAAGCGUAAUAGCUCACUGGUCGAGUCGGCCUGCGCGGAAGAUGUAACGGGGCUAAACCAUGCACCGAAGCUGCGGCAGCGACGCUGAUGCGUUGUUGGGUAGGGGAGCGUUCUGUAAGCCUGCGAAGGUGUGCUGUGAGGCAUGCUGGAGGUAUCAGAAGUGCGAAUGCUGACAUAAGUAACGAUAAAGCGGGUGAAAAGCCCGCUCGCCGGAAGACCAAGGGUUCCUGUCCAACGUUAAUCGGGGCAGGGUGAGUCGACCCCUAAGGCGAGGCCGAAAGGCGUAGUCGAUGGGAAACAGGUUAAUAUUCCUGUACUUGGUGUUACUGCGAAGGGGGGACGGAGAAGGCUAUGUUGGCCGGGCGACGGUUGUCCCGGUUUAAGCGUGUAGGCUGGUUUUCCAGGCAAAUCCGGAAAAUCAAGGCUGAGGCGUGAUGACGAGGCACUACGGUGCUGAAGCAACAAAUGCCCUGCUUCCAGGAAAAGCCUCUAAGCAUCAGGUAACAUCAAAUCGUACCCCAAACCGACACAGGUGGUCAGGUAGAGAAUACCAAGGCGCUUGAGAGAACUCGGGUGAAGGAACUAGGCAAAAUGGUGCCGUAACUUCGGGAGAAGGCACGCUGAUAUGUAGGUGAAGCGACUUGCUCGUGGAGCUGAAAUCAGUCGAAGAUACCAGCUGGCUGCAACUGUUUAUUAAAAACACAGCACUGUGCAAACACGAAAGUGGACGUAUACGGUGUGACGCCUGCCCGGUGCCGGAAGGUUAAUUGAUGGGGUCAGCGCAAGCGAAGCUCUUGAUCGAAGCCCCGGUAAACGGCGGCCGUAACUAUAACGGUCCUAAGGUAGCGAAAUUCCUUGUCGGGUAAGUUCCGACCUGCACGAAUGGCGUAAUGAUGGCCAGGCUGUCUCCACCCGAGACUCAGUGAAAUUGAACUCGCUGUGAAGAUGCAGUGUACCCGCGGCAAGACGGAAAGACCCCGUGAACCUUUACUAUAGCUUGACACUGAACAUUGAGCCUUGAUGUGUAGGAUAGGUGGGAGGCUUGGAAGUGUGGACGCCAGUCUGCAUGGAGCCGACCUUGAAAUACCACCCUUUAAUGUUUGAUGUUCUAACGUUGACCCGUAAUCCGGGUUGCGGACAGUGUCUGGUGGGUAGUUUGACUGGGGCGGUCUCCUCCUAAAGAGUAACGGAGGAGCACGAAGGUUGGCUAAUCCUGGUCGGACAUCAGGAGGUUAGUGCAAUGGCAUAAGCCAGCUUGACUGCGAGCGUGACGGCGCGAGCAGGUGCGAAAGCAGGUCAUAGUGAUCCGGUGGUUCUGAAUGGAAGGGCCAUCGCUCAACGGAUAAAAGGUACUCCGGGGAUAACAGGCUGAUACCGCCCAAGAGUUCAUAUCGACGGCGGUGUUUGGCACCUCGAUGUCGGCUCAUCACAUCCUGGGGCUGAAGUAGGUCCCAAGGGUAUGGCUGUUCGCCAUUUAAAGUGGUACGCGAGCUGGGUUUAGAACGUCGUGAGACAGUUCGGUCCCUAUCUGCCGUGGGCGCUGGAGAACUGAGGGGGGCUGCUCCUAGUACGAGAGGACCGGAGUGGACGCAUCACUGGUGUUCGGGUUGUCAUGCCAAUGGCACUGCCCGGUAGCUAAAUGCGGAAGAGAUAAGUGCUGAAAGCAUCUAAGCACGAAACUUGCCCCGAGAUGAGUUCUCCCUGACUCCUUGAGAGUCCUGAAGGAACGUUGAAGACGACGACGUUGAUAGGCCGGGUGUGUAAGCGCAGCGAUGCGUUGAGCUAACCGGUACUAAUGAACCGUGAGGCUUAACCUU